CAGGUUCCGAGGAAAAGUAAAUGCCUAGCUACACUCUUAUCAAUAAGUACCAGCAAAAAUUGAAGUUCAGGCUGGCUGUUCUUAAAUUUUUCAAAUCCUUGAGGCUUGAAUGCUCAUUAUUUGCAGGCACGUAAACAAUAGGGGGCGUGGGUGCGUGACGGCCCCCCCCCAACGGUUGGAAAAUCCAAUUGCAGUUGGAAAACUUGAAAAAUUCACUUGGAAAUUUUUCUAACUAUUAUGACCAAAUAUGUGAAUUUUAUAGCUUAGGAUUUUGGGAUUUUAAAUGUAAAAAUCUUAGACCUUAUUGAAAUUCAAACUCUGGAGCAGACACAUCUUCUAAUCGUUUUUAAUUGUGAAGCCCUGUCUCCACUGGAUCUCAAAUUGCACCAUUGCAUCGUUUGUUUCCUUUUUGAUAGGAGUUAAGUUUGAUUAAAUUAUUCUGAACAGGCAAGGUGAACGUCUGGAAAAGAAGUUUAAAUUUUACCAUCAGUAUUGUUUGAGCCUGAAGUUUUGAGAAAUCAUUCCUUGUAUUGAUCAGAACAAUUGAAAGUGGGAAUUUUUUAAGAAACAACUAGUAGCCGAUUCAAUUGAAAACAUUAAAAAUCUUUCAUUGCUAGAAAUUCGCAACGCUUCUUAACGGGUGUAUGCUCAGCUCCCCCUGCACUUUGUAGACCUCCUUGAAUCUAAUUAUAAAUUGCUAUGAUAAAGCUAAUGAAAAGCCACAAAACAUUGAUCAAAGAAGCUGCAGCAGAAGUAUUUGAUCAAAGAAGAGUGCUCUAUCUUACGAAUCGGGCAUAUGCACUUGCCCUCAGAUCACCCUUUUCAGUUCCAAAAAACAAAGGACAUUUCGUCCUUUGAAAAUUGUAAAAAUUUUCCUUCGAUCAAGAACAAAAGAUAAAAUGGUCAAUUCCUUGAUGCUUCUAUAUAAAACUGAUCUGCAGCAAUUAGCUUUAAGAUGGGCAAAGCAGAAAAUGAAUAGAAUUGCUGUUAACUGACUUGAAAGAAUAUUACUUUUUAUCAUUAAACAUAUCCAAGAUCUAGAAUGGUAUGGCUUUGAUGUUGCUUUAUAUCUUACGAAAAGAUUAAAUGUUCAUGUUACGUUGAUCAAAAUUUAGAGAUUUCCUUUAUCUUCUUUAAUGAUUUUAUGAUUAAGACUAAUUAUUUUAAGUAAAAUGUUUGAAAUUAUACAGAACCUAGAAAUCUGGAAUAAGUCAUAAGGCUAUCUCCAAAUCAAUUUGGUAGGUACAGAAGAUUAACAGGGAAAGUUGGAAUUUUCAACCUUCCACGACCCCCAAAAUUAGCCACUUGUUUACGUCCCUGAUUAUUUGUUCUUAGAUUGUUAGGAUGUUAGCAGGAAAAUCGCUAGCUAUUGCCCUCAAUGGGUGUGUUCAGGCCCCAUUUGCCAACAAAACGAGUGAAUCAUAUUUCAUUUGCCGACGGGAUUGUAAAUUCGCCGACAAAGCACGCCUAGAUGACGAAAACUCCUCGUUUUGAGAUAUAACUUUUUUAAAGGAGAUUCAUAAUUUUGUUCAAAAAUUAGAUUUUACGGAACCUUAGCCUCGGCUUGUUAGGGUUAAUUAGAAAUUUUUUUGGAAAAAAUUGCGGUCUGACAAAAAUGCAUUUAAUUAACAAAGAAAUGGAAAAAGCGUAGCUGAUAAACCUUGCAUUGUGAUUAGAAGAAAACAGGUUUACGGGACGAUUAAUAACAGGAAAAAGUUUACAGGAUGAGUACACACAGAAAAACAUUUCCAGGAAGACUAGUCAUAGGAAAAAGGUUUCCAGUAUGAGUAAUUACUUGAAAUAACAAGACGCAUUUAAGGGGCUUCCUGUCUAGAUCAGAAAUUUCUUGCUUAAAAGUAUGGACCCUAGGCGACUUCACGGGUUCAUUUUUAACUGCUUAGUUGUUACGCCGUUUAGACCAUAGUUACGGUACUAAUGAAGCCUCGAUACUAAUCCAGCCUCCUUAUGUGCCUUUGUUGAAGUCAUGCCUCAAAACUAUAAAAAACGUAAGAUAGACUGACUGGAAAUGCUAAUACCAAUUUUAAGCUCGAGGGCUCUCCUGUUGUAUAAUGAUUCAAAUAUGCAAACUACGUUCGAUAGCAUACGAUCUCCACAUAUUGUGGUUAGACAAGAGUGCUGGUAAAUCUGAAAACACCCAGCGUAGUUAAAAUCACAAAUCAGUUUAAUUGUAUCGUAUACCGCAUUCCGUUUCCCUUUUUUUGUCCAUACCGCGAAGAGGAAAUCCACCUUAACAGGUAAUAGAUUGGGUGUGGUAAGGGUGUGGUGACGGGUGUAGGCUUUUGAAUUUGCCUACAGCACAACCAUUUCCCUAACAUUUUAGGACGGCAUGAAAAUGAGGAAGUGUCAUCCCACAAGCUAUUGUAUGGUACGAACAUUUGUGCUUUUUAUGGCAGUAAGCUACAGUGUACUUAAAUCGAAAGACGAAGAAAAUUUUUUUCAGAAAAGGUGCCAUGAGAAGGAAACUCUGGUUUCUACGAUGCAAUAUUGAUAUAUAAUAGUUUCGAUUAAAUGCCGAAGCGCCAUGAAAUUGUCAUAAUUUUCUUAAGUAUAGGUAGGCCAAUUUGUUAGACACCCGUUAGCCCCAGCAUUGUUUAGACCUAGUCAUAGGUUACUCAUUCUCGACCCUAAACUCGUACAACUGUCCCAAACAGCGAACAAAACUUUUUUGAAAAAAAAAUUUCCUACAGAAAAGAUCGUACGACAUUUCGGUAUCUUCGUGGAGUGAUAUAAGCCUCUGUUCUUGAUAGAGGCUGGGGAUAAAAUGUGGAGGUGUUAGAUAAACUAGGGCUGUAGAAAAUAGUCCAGUCCUUCUGGAAUAGUCAGAUUGUAUGCCCCAUAAAAAAAUUACAACAUAUGAUUUUUAAACAACAUGUAUCGAAAGGAUUUUUCCGGUUUCUGAAUUCAAACCAUUCCAUUACAUCAUGCCUCUCAGCCGCAGCACGAACAGUAUCAAAGAAUUCAUCGCCAUUGUUCGAAACAGCACACUUUGUUAUGACAUGAUUCAGCUCACAAAGAAACCCAAUGCAAAAAGAAAAAACAUCACUCCAAAUGAAAUCAUCGAAACCAGCAGAAGCAGAUAUUUAUCGUUAAGGUGGACACAGGUAACAGACAACGUAGAUUCAAAGAAAACUUCCAAGAAGCACAAAGAUUCAUGGUAAAACCUUUCAAGUUCAAGUCACUUAGCAAUGACAAGUCACACCAAUUAUACAUCCACUAACAAAAGCUCAACUCACUUCACUGCAGCAAACCUGACGUGCUAUACAUCAAUCGCAUGGAGAAUUUUUUUAUCAAAUAACCAGCAUCUUGCUAUCGCUAUAGCAUACAGUCUCACAAUCUUGCCUGUUGCAUUAUUCAACGGGGCAUUGAGCCUAGCUCUUUACAAAACAGAACAGUGGAAAUCGAAAAUGAAGUUUCUAAUAUUUGUUUUGAGUUUAUCUGAUACUUUCACUGGGAUGGUUCAAAUACCAGCAGCCAUAAUUCUAGUAACAAGGCUGAAAUACACACGCUGCUGCUGGUUCGAGAUGGCGACUACAUUUACCAGUGUAACAAAUGUUCAUUUCUCGUACUACUUAUUGAUGGCUAUUGCAUUUCAAAGAUAUCUUAAGAUAACUGGCACAAUCAAAAUGCAGCCACAAUUAGGUCGCAUUUUCCUGUCCAAUAAAGGUACCCGAAUUACAGCAAUGCUCCUGUUUCCUCUUGCAAUACUACAUGGCCUUGUGGCAACCUAUUUCUUCGGUCACACGAAGUCAAACAUACCAAACAUGACUAUGAUGUGCCCUCGCAUUUUUACCUUUGCCGUAGUGUUUGCAGUUUACUUUCGACUUAACAUUACACUCAAAAAAGAGAGAAAGAGGGCACUACAGCAUGGCUUUAACAACAGAACACACACAAGAGCUUUCAAAAUAAUUGUCCUGGUACUCUUCAUUUACACGCUGUCCUACCUUCCGGCACUAGCAACUGACACAUGGACGGCCUAUUACUCUUACUUUCUCAAGUCAGCUGGACCCAUCGAAAUACGAUUUGUAUACUUUCUUUCGUUUAGUUUCGCAUAUUUGAAUUGCGCUUUGAACGCUAUAAUAUUUACUUAUACAGAUGAAACGGCAUGUAGAUACAUAUUUGAAUUAAUUCCAAAGUGUGAUCUUGAAGGACUAGAUAGAAAUCACCAACGCAGACCAAUUUCUCUAGAAAUGGAAUCAUAAUUUUUCAAAAGAUCCUGCGCUGGCUUUUAGCCCCGUGGUGCUGAGGUGAAGUUUAACAUAAAACUGUAUUCCCAUUUCCUUUAUUUUCAUUGUAGGAUCUGGUACUUCGAAUUGAGUGAUAGACAGGCAUCAUAAUUGAUACGAUCAAUCAUAUUUUCAAUAACUGCAUUCAAAAUGGCGUCUUUCCGGAUCUAUUUAAACUAGCAGAUGUCACUUCCCUUCACAAAUCGGAGGAGAAAACUAGUAAAAAAAUUACAGACCGUCCGACAAAUUCUGUAGCAGCCUAGUUUAUUCAGAAGAAUACAAUGGUCAACAGAAUCGAAGGCCAUGGCCAGGUCUGAAAAGAAAGCUCCUACAUAAUAGCAGUGACCAAGUUCUUCAUGAAUGUAACCAGAGACAUCACUUACAGUUGUUGCUGUCGAGUGAGAUUUCAGAAAGCCAGGUAUGUAUGCCUUGAUGAGAUUCACCUUCCUUUAGUAGUUCUGUAGCUGCUCAUUUACAACUUGCUCCAAAAUCUUCAACAAGUCUAUCUACCCUAUUGAACAUCCAGGCAAUCGAAUAUGAAUCUAUAUUCAAAGCAUAUGGGACCACCUCGUCGUUUGGGAUUAGUUCCCACAUUUUUAAUAUACACAUGUCAGCCUCCGUCACCAAUAACUUUCUGAAACUUGAUUGCAUUUCAGAACUCAAUAGUUUUGGCUGUUCAGGAAAAAAAACUAAGAACUGUGACUGCUGUAGGCAAGGAAAUUGGAAUUAUAUCUACCAAGUCCGUACGUGCAAUCUGAGUUGAUUGGUUUGUAUAUACAUUUGAGAAACAAUUCAGAUCUGAUCAAAAUGAGCUUCGAUGUGACCGGAAUUAAUGACGCUAUAACUUCAAAAAUUGAGCCAGAGGACUCGUUCCUCGAUCUUGAUAAAAAUUAGGACUGUAUUCAUAUCCCCACGCCUUAGUGUUUUUUCGUGAUCACACUAAUAUGCUGUGUUAUGAAAAUCAAGAUAUUUUUCCGAAAUUUCUUAGCGUCUUCCCAUUUUGUCCGAAAUUUUUGUCCGAAAUUGUCUGAAGUCAAGAUUUUUUGGUCCAAAACUUUCUGUCCGGAAAUUAAAAGCCGAAAUUCAAUCAUCCGAAAUUUUUGGGGAAUAAACAGUCCCCAGUUCCGCCAGAUGAUACAGGCAUCCCGUGCUAAUCUCAAGGUCCUGUUCUUUACUACGGCAACCCUGUAUUUUGGCCCUGCUCAUAACUAUGACACUCUAUGUUUGGUCCUGCUUCACAAUGGGCUUUUGUAAAUUUAGUCCUGCUUCUACUAUAGUCUAGAACAAAGAGCUGUCCUGCUCAAUCUCGGGAGCAGGACCUCGUCGAAAUGAUCAUCAUAACAUGUCAUAAGCAGUAGUGACUUGGUUGGUUGAGAGUUACCUACAUAGGCAAAAGAGCAUUGUUUUGAAAAGCUUUGGUCUUGCUAUUUCUGAGAGCAGGACUGUGACCACUGCCCUGCCCUGUGUAUUCUCGUUCUGAUUAUGAGACAUUGAGAUGAGAGUACUAGCAGGGAGGCCAGUUCAAGCAUUUUGGCGAGGCGAUGUGAAUGUUUCCUGCUUGCUUAGGCGAUACCAAUGUUAUUAUUAUUGACAGCAAAACUUGCCUCAGUUGAGCUGCAUAAUGUUUAUUUGUAGCAAGAUAGAGUACAAAGUUCGCGAGAAAGAAAUGGUAAACAACAAGGAUUGGCUGUAUUAGGCACUGAUUCCGGCUUUCAAAAAGUAAGCACCCUAAAGCACGCCUUUAAGAAUGGGUUUGAUUUUCAGUUCAAAUUUAGAUAGAUAUCAGUUCAAAAUUUGCUUUUUACUGAAAUUAAGAAAAAAAUAAUCUGCAAAAAAGAUUUUUUUCAUGGACGUUUCCUAUUAAAUAAGGUCAUGGCCCUCUCCAUACAGCAGGACCAACUAUUUUUGGAUAGCUUCGCCACUGGUCCCAGGUUUCCCGGUCCUGAUCCUAAAUCUUGCCGUCCAUGCUCCUCCCUCAUUCAGGCUUAGCAUCUUGUUGUGUGGCUUCUGAUUUCAACCACUGCAUAUCUAUUAUGCUGAUCAAAUGAAAUCUUAUCAGAGUUAAUUUCACAAGGGAUGUCGUAGAAUUUGAUUUUGCUAGGGGUUCUUAUUUUAGCUUAUUUGUAUUAUUCUCAUUUGGGUGUCAAUUGUCAUGCUUCAAUUUGGUAUUUAAGUCCUUAUGCGCUUCUUUGAUGCUAUUGGGAAUAAUAGAGAAGAAGGAGUUCUGUAGUUUGGAUUUCGGCACAAAAGUGUGGGCCCCCUGACUCAGAUGGGUGUAUUUAAUUGCUUUGGGUCGGGAUUAUCGUGCUUACUUUGUGUGCUGUUUCCACGCUGUUCUCCCCUCCCUCCCUCCCCUUUUGAUAUUAAGCGUAAUGUGUUUCUUCAAAUCCUCAUUCAUUCUAAUGUAUUAGGCUAAGGCCUGUUUACAUCACGGUAUUCAUUUCAAAGUUCUUGUUAUUUUUCGUUUAGGAAAGACUAGGCUCUUAAUUCAGCCGUGUUUCUCUUCCUCUCUCAUAUCUUAGGUAGAAGAUGACGAAUGUUCCAGCAAACGAGGGAAAAAGAGGCAAUGGAUCAAAAGACGCGAGGAGAAGGGGUUUUAUAACUGUCAAAAUUUAAGGAUUUUUUUGAUGUACUCAAUUCAGGUGCAUCCUAUAACCAUUUUAUGGAAUCCUUGUUACCUCUAAUGUAUAUAAGAAGUAUGAUCUUUUUAAUAUUUCAUGUACAAAAGCUCAGUCGUGUGUUAUGUGACUUCAACUAUGACGUCAUUUUGUGUACUCUUGUCAUUAUGUCUUGAAUAAUUAUGACCUCAUAUCUAUUUUCGGAUAUCUUUUUAAAAAAAAGAUACAUCAUAACCUCUGCUAUGUCUAUGGUGAUUUUUGUCAACAUAUACCAAGGAGCAACUACUAUUUUAGAGUGGGGGGGGGGGGCUGAAUGAGCCCUUUAGCCUUCUAGCAGCUCGAAAAGCCCAGUCUGGAUAGGGUUAAACCAACAGGUAAGAAAUUAGCUGCAAAACCAUCAGUGGGUUUUUACAGUUUCAUUGCUGCAAAUAGUUUAGAAAUCCAAAGUUGCUGUGAUGCAUUCCACCUCCAUUGCUUGACUGGUUAUGGGAACUGUUGUAGUUUACAGGAAGAGCUGAAGCAACUCCACUUAUUUCUAUGUCGAAAAGGACAUCACAAAUUCUCUUCUCUGCAAUCACCCUUGUGCGAUCGUCAAACUUAUUCAGUUUUUCUGCUACAAACAAAGCAAAUGGACAUUCUUUCACGCAUCAUGUGACUGUUGUGGUGGUGGUUCACACAAGACAUUGAUGCACUGGACAUCUUUGGAGUCCCUUUUUGUGAGCUUGAAGAAGAGUGUGAAUUUUUAGAAAAUUGUGUGCUUGAGGAUGAAUCUUCACUUUCUUUGCUGGUCUUUUCUCUAUCGUUUUCUUGAAUUUCAACAUUUUGUGACUCCAGAUUGUAAGAUAAGGUAUCUUUGCUUUUUCCUGGCUGCAUAACUGGACACAAAAAUUGUAAAGGCCCCCAGUAGGGCCAGUUGGUGUUGUAAGGCUCGUCCCUUCCUUGUCCAGAUUUUGUUUUUGAGGACUUGGCAAUCCCUCUUCCUAGCUGUGCUCGCAAAACAGCAAUUUUUGAUCUAAUUUCCAUGACAGAAAUAUUCAUUGCCUCUGAGAUUUCUUCUAACGCUUUUCCGCGUUGGUCUCUCAAAUGGUAUGCUUGGUGAAAUACGUUCCACAAACAAGGACGAGCUUCCAGAUUUUCUAUUAAUCGUAAAAUUUCCUCAUGUUUCCAUGCUGUCUUCCGUGAUUGACCUGAAAUAUUUUUCAUCUCCUUAGUUACUGUCGUUUUCUCUACUUUCUUGCGUUGAUGUUCUUUUGGCAGGGUAAUUUCUUUAUCAGAAUCAGCAGCAUAAUCAUCAGUUGGCUCGUCUUCACUGCCAUUGAUUUUGGCUACUUUUUUUGGUGGAUGUAGUCCAAGACGGCCUAAGCCUGCCAUCCCUGAUCUUGAAAGCAACGAUUUUCUUUUCCCCAAAACUCUAUUCAUUUCCUCUACGGCCUCGUCGUACUCAUCUUCACUCACUAAAUCUCUUUCUUCGUACUUUUCCAUCAUCCAAUAUCCCUAAGUCUUCCAAAUCAAAAGGCUUUUCUCACAAUUUUGAUCUCUGCUUUACAAACUCAAACUUGGCGCGCAGCGCUAUUCACAUUUAUUAAUUCCUUACAGCGCUUGCGUGAAGCCAACAAAUGUUGGCCUACCCGGCCAAACGAGCCAGCAAUGCCCAACAACACCCAACAGCCGCCAACAUUUUUGACCAGUUUCAAAUCGAUCCAACAUUUCACCCAACAUCUUUCCCAACAAUGUUGGGUGAACCAACAUGGUGGCCAAACGACCCAACAUUUGAGCCAACAUGCGAAAAGAGCAUGUUGGCUGAAAUGUUGGGAGAAAUGUUGGCUCGUUUGGCCGGGGCUUUAGGUGAAGCAACUUGUGCCGAUGCACUAACGGCCUAACGUUGCUUCCUGUGAUGAGUGAAUGUAGCCUCAAGACCUGAUUUGAUGAGGGGUGUGGCAACGUCUUCUGAGGGAGCUUUUUUAUUUAAAUUGAUGGAAUGCAUUUCUCAAGCCGCACGAAUGAACAAUGAAUAAGAAUCCGUAUUGUUCGAACCAGCUCCUUUUGUAUCAACAUUAUCAUAUUUUGAAAAGAAAUUAAAUGAAAUAUGAAAAUCCACUUGACAGGAAGCCAAAGAAGCCGACAGAGCAGAAAAUUCUUAUCGAGAAGCACAAAGAUUCAAGGGGAAAGUUUUGCAGUCCAAGUCAUUAGCAAUGACAAGUCACAUAAACUUUACAUCCAGUAACAAAAGCUCAACUCACUUCACUGCAGCAAACCUGACGUGCUAUACAUCAAUCGCAUGGAGAAUUUUUUUAUCAAAUAACCAGCAUCUUGCUAUCGCUAUAGCAUACAGUCUCACAAUCUUGCCUGUUGCAUUAUUCAACGGGGCAUUGAGCUUGGCUCUUUACAAAACAGAACAGUGGAAAUCGAAAAUGAAGUUUCUAAUAUUUGUUUUGAGUUUAUCUGAUACUUUCACUGGGAUGGUUCAAAUACCAGCAGCCAUAAUUCUGGCAACAAGCCUGAAAUACACACGCUGCUGCUGGUUCGAGAUGGCGACUACAUUUACCAGUGUAACAAAUGUUCAUUUCUCGUACUACUUAUUGAUGGCUAUUGCAUUUCAAAGAUAUCUUAAGAUAACUGGCACAAUCAAAAUGCAGCCACAAUUAGGUCGCAUUUUCCUGUCCAAUAAAGGUACCCGAAUUACAGCAAUGCUCCUGUUUCCUCUUGCAAUACUACAUGGCCUUGUGGCAACCUAUUUCUUCGGUCACACGAAGUCAAACAUACCAAACAUGACUAUGAUGUGCCCUCGCAUUUUUACCUUUGCCGUAGUGUUUGCAGUUUACUUUCGACUUAACAUUACACUCAAAAAAGAGAGAAAGAGGGCACUACAGCAUGGCUUUAACAACAGAACACACACAAGAGCUUUCAAAAUAAUUGUCCUGGUACUCUUCAUUUACACGCUGUCCUACCUUCCGGCACUAGCAACUGACACAUGGACGGCCUAUUACUCUUACUUUCUCAAGUCAGCUGGACCCAUCGAAAUACGAUUUGCACACUUUCUUUCGUUUAGUUUCGCAUAUUUGAAUUGCGCUUUAAAUGCUAUAAUAUUUACUUAUACAGAUAAAACGGCAUGUAGAUACAUAUUUGAAUUAAUUCCAAAGUAUGAUCCUGGAGGACAAGAUAGCAACCAGCAAGGCAAAACAAAUUCUCUCGCAAUGGAGUCAACAUUUUUUAAAGAUCCAUCUGAGGUUAUUGAGCCCCCGCGGUGCUGAAAAGAAGUUUAAAACAAAACUGCAUUUAUAUUCCCUUCGUUUUCCGAGUAGAGUAUUGCAGAAGAAAGGCCUCAAGAGGGAAAGAUAAUAUGCAAGCCGUCAACGAAAAGGAGAAACAGUAAAAUUCGGUGUUCAGACACAAAUCAACGAAUAGUAAUAGGCUGACGAGCCGACGAGCCGACGAGCCGACGAAUGUAUCCUGGGUGUUAGAAGUUUGUCUGUGAUCACAUCUUAAAUAGAAAAUAUUUAUAAGUUAAUAUAAAGUAAAUAUCUGUCAAUCUAUUUUUUUCAUUCUGGUCGAUCAACUACAGCCGCUGGUAAUUUAUUUUUAUAUCUAAUUAAGUUUAAUGAUUAACAAGUACUUUAAUAAAAUGACUUUUAAUAGAGGAACAUUCUUACAUUCCCAUUUAGUAUUUCUGUUGUCUUAAAAAGGCCUGGAAUAUUUAUCUGUAUCUCGUUAAAAUGUUAUUUUGAAAAAAUAAUGUUAUGUUCACAAACAUCUAUCUUGAUCACUUACUUCUUUGAAUUAUAUUAUAGGGCAUAAUUCAACUUGAUUUAAUAAGAAAAAAAUAAGCAGGUUGCUUUAACAAAUUUACUAAUAUGGAAAAAUGAUGUGAGUUUGAGUGGUGUGCUUCUUAGUGCUAAGUUCGAGAAGAUCUUGAAUGUAAUAGAAUUGCAAAAACUAACCUCCUUAUAAAAUCCAAUACAGCAGUUAUGAGCGAAUCCUUUAUUCUGCCAAUCAUGUUUGUCUUCCAUGUUUCUAGUGCAAGCUUCAAGAAAAAAAGGAAAUUUGCAGUAUUUUCACAAGUGCAGAUAUCAGUCUUGAAUUAUUGGAAACCACCAUGGAACCCAAGCUCCAAGAAGGGAUGAGAGUGUAAAUCCUCCCUUUUAGUCUAUCUGGCAUCAAUUAUCUAAUGCUGCCAAUAAAUUCUAUAAUCAAUAAUAAUAAUCAAACCACAAUGACGACUUGAAAAACUAUACUUUCAGACUUUCAUGUUUUAUUUAAUAUGAUAUACAAUCUCACAAGAACAUGGAAAGAAAUCAGUCUGUUUUUGGUUCUUAUCUUUGGGUGUUAUUUUCCACAAAAUCAGUCUGUAAGUUCUUAUUUUCCUAUGUUAUUGUUUGCGGGGUUUUACUGUACUCACAGUUUUGGGACAGGUAUGGUGCUAAGGACGGAGGACUCAAGAAUGAGAGGGGACCGGCAAAUGCUGGUUUGGGGAAAACCGGAGCAAAGGGAACAGAGUCGGGGGCGUAUCGGAACCAAUUAUAGCGUCUCUACAGGGAGAGAGUGAAAAGUGACGUCCUCUUAAGAAUAUACUUUAAGGAAAUUUCCAUUUUGUACAUGUCAUUGUAUUGUGUAUGAUAAAACAUUCUAAUCUAACCAACACUUGCUGAGAUGCUCCCCAAUAUGUUACUUACUUUCUCUAUCAAGUACUUCACUAUAAAUUAGUCUUGACUCUAGCCUAGCAUUGCAAUGAACCAGGCAAAAGUUACAGUAAUUAUCCUUAAUUUCAGAUCUUUCAAUUGAUUUUACCACAGCAAAUUUGUAACUCGCAUCUUUAGAGGUAUUUCUCAGCACACUAUCAGAUGACAUGCAAGAGAUUAAAAAACUAAAAAAAGAUUCUACGAACAUACUUUCAUGACGUCAUCACUUUUAAACUCUAUUGCGCCUUUACAGAAGUUCAGUAAAAGGCGAAGCAAGAACAUGCGGUAAAUCCAGCAUUUGCUUACGCUGUCUCCAGUUAUUUAGAAAUGUCACCAAUACGAAUAAAAAUACUCACAUGGCCAAUUUCGAUGUUAUCAUCCGAUUGAGAGUGGGGGUAGAUGGUUGGAUGUUCGUAGAAGUCCGUCUUCUUUUUCUUACAAUAAAGCCCAUUUAAAUAUCUAGGAAUGAACAAAAGAAAUGGAUAAAAAAUACGUAAAAACACAAAUCAGAGUCUAAGUUAUCUAGCACAAGAGCGAAUAUAAGCUUCUAUAACUCGCAAAGUAUUGUGCAAUUGACUUUUGCAAUGCAAAAAUGAAACUUCUCAUGGUGUUUUUUUUAUGUUAACGAAAUUCAGCUAGAAAUUAUAGGAACUGUAUCUACUCGAGUUCGAUACCUAUGCAAGGCGCAUGUUUAAACGGGAGAAACUAAAAUUCAAUUAUCAGAGGUGAUUUAGUGAGAACAAAAUGCUGUCAUUAGCAUGAAAGAAUCAGUAGUGACACAUCUUUGAAUAUCUCUAUAGCAAGAGUUAUAUCUGCAAAGAGCAUAUGUUUAUAUCAAUCGUGAUUACUCCUCGACGCACAACUCUCUUUCUAUCAAUAGCCUAACGAAACCAUGAUGUUUGUCCGUACAAUGUUAAAUGAAAGACUACCACUACAAGAUCAACUGAUCGGGAGUGAAACUCAA